rnacentral:rRNA from 1 species
UAAUACGGGGGGAGCAAGCGUUGUUCGGAUUUACUGGGCGUAAAGGGCGCGUAGGCGGCCAGCACAAGUCAGUUGUGAAAUCUCCGAGCUUAACUCGGAAAGGUCAACUGAUACUGUGCGGCUAGAGUGCGGAAGGGGCAACUGGAAUUCUCGGUGUAGCGGUGAAAUGCGUAGAUAUCGAGAGGAACACCUGCGGCGAAGGCGGGUUGCUGGGCCGACACUGACGCUGAGGCGCGAAAGCUAGGGGAGCGAACGGGAUUAGAUACCCCGGUAGUCCUAGCCUUAAACGAUGAAUGCUUGGUGUCUGGGGUUAUAUAGUCCCCGGGUGCCGUCGCUAACGCUUUAAGCAUUCCGCCUGGGGAGUACGGUCGCAAGACUG